rnacentral:rRNA from 1 species
AACGAACGCUGGCGGCAUGCCUAACACAUGCAAGUCGAACGAGACCUUCGGUUCUAGUGGCGCACGUGUGCGUAACGCGUGGGAACCUGCCCUUAUGUUCGGAAUAACUCCCCGAAAGGGGUGCUAAUACCGGAUAAUUUCUUCGGACCAAAGAUUUAUCGCCUUUGGAUGGGCCCGCGUUGGAUUAGCUAGUUGGUAGGGUAAAAGCCUACCAAGGCGACGAUCCAUAGCUGGUCUGAGAGGAUGAUCAGCCACACUGGGACUGAGACACGGCCCAGACUCCUACGGGAGGCAGCAGUGGGGAAUAUUGGACAAUGGGCGAAAGCCUGAUCCAGCAAUGCCGCGUGAGUGAUGAAGGCCUUAGGGUUGUAAAGCUCUUUUACCCGGGAUGAUAAUGACAGUACCGGGAGAAUAAGCUCCGGCUAACUCCGUG